AAGUGGCCUAGAGUGCUAGCUUGAGCAAAGGAAGCAAAGCAGACUCUAAGUUCAAGCCCCAGGACAGCACAAAACAAACAAAAAUACCCCAAAUAACAAAAAUAAGUAUAAAGUAUUUAGUGUUGUGGCUAAUACAAAGUAACAGUCAGUAAAUGUUCACUGGUAGUGGUACCAACACAUGUUCAUCACAGUCAAGCCUACUGAUUUCUCUUCCUCAUCUAUAAGAAAUAAAUAUAAGUAAUGAUUUUGAUCUUUGAGGAUCAAAUCAGAUAAGUGACUAAUGAGCCUUUAUCAGUUGUUGUCAACCUUCCUUUCAUUUCUCUGCCAAAACACCUGGGUUUCAAAAUUCGAAAUCAAUAAUUAUGCUAAUGUUUAAUAAAAUUAUCUCAAGGUGAAGAAGAAUCACUUUUAACUGGCACAAUUAAAAUGGCACAUACAAUAAUUAAGACAG